CAGAAAAGUGCACCUCAUCGUGAUUUCUACAAUAUAAGGAAAGUGGAUACUCAUGUCCAUCAUUCUGCUUGCAUGAACCAAAAACAUCUUCUCCGGUUCAUCAAGUCAAAGUUAAAAAAAGAACCAGAUGAGGUUGUUAUCUACAGUGAUGGUCAGUAUCUUACACUGAAAGAAGUCUUUGACAGCCUGGACUUGACAGGACAAGAGUACCUUUCAUCGCUUUGACAAAUUCAAUCUCAAGUACAAUCCUUGUGGACAAAGUAGACUCAGAGAAAUAUUUCUGAAGCGGGAUAAUCUUAUUCAAGGCCGUUUGUUUGUUUGUUUGAAGGAGAGAGUUUUGGCAAGGGCUGAAGAGUUGCGUGCUGAAGGGGAAGAUCCGGAUUACGAUGCAAUCUUUCUCGAGCUGGGCAAGCGACAAGCUUGUAGUAUUUGAACUAAAUUGUGGAAACUAGUAGUAUUUGAACUUAAUUUGUGAUUUGAUUGAAUUGAAGUGUGAAACAAUAUUUUGUAUCUAUGUAAAAUUUGAAUUUUCGUCA